rnacentral:rRNA from 1 species
CCUUAUCCUUGUUUGCCAGCACUUCGGGUGGGAACUCCAGGGAGACUGCCGGUGAUAAACCGGAGGAAGGUGGGGACGACGUCAAGUCAUCAUGGCCCUUACGAGUAGGGCUACACACGUGCUACAAUGGCGCAUACAGAGGGCGGCCAACUUGCGAAAGUGAGCGAAUCCCAAAAAGUGCGUCGUAGUCCGGAUUGGAGUCUGCAACUCGACUCCAUGAAGUCGGAAUCGCUAGUAAUCGUGGAUCAGAAUGCCACGGUGAAUACAUUCCCGGGCCUUGUACACACCGCCCGUCACACCAUGGGAGUGGGCUGCAAAAGAAGUGGGUAGUUUAACCUUCGGGGGGACGCUCACCACUUUGUGGUUCAUGACUGGGGUGAAGUCGUAACAGGUAACCAGGGCGAAUUACCAGCACACUGCGCCGU